UUUAAUAUGGCAGAUCAGUGCAAUGAACUUAAACUUCAUAUAGAAAGACUUUCUUUUAUUAAAA
rnacentral:tRNA from 1 species